AGUUUCCCCACUAAACAUACUCUCCUCAUAUUUCCCUCUCAGUUUUAAUUUUUCAUUUUCAUCUUCCCACCAAAAUCUCACAGCCUCCUAAAAUGCCCUAAUUAAGAAUAUUUCCUCACGAUCCAUCUCUUCUUUUCUCUGUGAUUUCUUCUUCUUCUCUAUCUUUGGCUCAUUACUUCUUGAUCACCAUUUUGUAUCGUAACUCAUUGUUACAAGGGCUUCAAACCAGGACUAACAUGUCUUUGUUACUAAGGGCCAAGAAUUUAUGUUGUGCUGUUUAAAACUAAAGGUUUAAAGAUGCACACCAACUGUUCGAUGUAAUGCUUCAACAAAGUUUUCAAGAUGCAGAUUACUGGCCUCUUUCAUGUGAUAUGGACUUAUCCAGUAUGUUGGGAGGGUUGAGAAGGUCGAUAGGCGGUGAAAGAAGAGUGGGUGCUGGUGGUGAUCGGACAAUCCACGAUUGAGAACUUGAUUCCGUAUGACGCAAGUAGUCCGUCCAUUGCAGUGGCUGGCUUACAUCCUAUUAAUUAUGCAUGUCUAUCUUAUCACGAGUAAAAAGGCUGAAUUAGAGUCAGACGAGGUGUUCGCUGAUAUAUCUUUGAUGCCUAAACCUGAUGUUAGUCUACCUUCUGUAUAUCCUUGUGGUAUGCGUGUAGUUAGCAUUUGAUUAAUGGUUUGCUGGCACACUACUGGGAUCAAUGGAAGUUUUGGCACUACGAGAAAUAUGAGCGUUAGCGACGACCUUUUUAGCGGCGACACCAAGCAUGUCGUCGCUAAUGAUCACAAUCUGAAGCGCUCACAUAACAAAGGAACUUCCGCCUUAGGUCACCUUUUGCUUAUUAGACACGCCUCGUAAACACUUUUUAAAACUAACAUAUAGUAGAAUAAGAAAAAUAAUUAUUUUCAUAUGUAUUUUUCUAUAAUAUAUUAGUCUAUAUUAGUCAUUCUGGACACGGGUACCUGCAACCUGGAUUACGGAAGAGAGACGAAAGGAUUACACACAUGGAAAUCGAAGGAGAGAGACAAGAAGGAGGUGAAUGGCAGUGAGUGGCAGGUGACGGGCGGUGGGCGAAGAUGCUGAAGCAGCUGGUUGUAUCUGGUUAUAGUUUGUUGCUCCUUUUCUUUAUCACACUUUAUUUUUAUGUUAAGUUAUUAAAAUAUUAAUCAAAAUGAUCCUUGCUACAUAGGUGAUAAGUUUUAAAUGCGAUAACGUUAGUGGUAAAUAUGAAAUUGAUGAUAGGUGGUGGAGCAAUACAAGUUGGGAUAAGAAGUUACCCUUUGCUCGUGCAGAUUGGUGGAGUUUUAUAUGUGGACAUAGCCGGGUUCGAGGCGUGGACAUACUCAAGGUCCGGCUCUUGUUUCUAAGGCGUUUUAUCUUCAAUUUCGGUCAAUUACUCCUGGUGUUAGAAAUGGAACACAGGUAUUUUUUAUUCCUAUGUGCAAAAAAGUGACUCUUCUUUAAAUUGUGUUAAUCUAGAUGUUAUAGGUGGCACAAUGGGCACACCGGGUAACGGGUCAAAACGGGUUCCGAGUGGCAAGAGGUGUACAAUAAAAGCCGGUUUUAGGGCCGAAACCGGGACCGGUUAUGCUAGUUUGGGUUCCCAUUGUGAAAACCGGUUAAAAAACCGAACCGGUUUUUUUUAAAAUCGGUUUUUUCCCACACAACAAUAACCUGUUCGGUUAAAAACCGACCGGUUAGAAAAAAACCGAUUUGUAGACCUCUCUACGGGUGGCCUGCAAACACUUUUAUGUCUAUUUUCUUAAAAAGUGUAAUAACUAACUAAUGCGUUUUUAAAAAUAGAAAACAAUUUGAUACUAAUUAUUAUAAUUUGAAAUAUAUAUUUAUUAUAUCAGUUAAAAAUUGUAUAAAUAAUGGGCUCGUUUAGGCUCCCGAGCCGGUUUAAGCAUCACAAGUCAAGCUUGAGCUCGUUUAAGCCCGGCUCGUUUCAAGCUCUUUUUCGAGUCGAUCUUGAGUAGGUCAGCUCAUUUACAUCUCUAUCGACCACCCAUUAUUCCUCACGACCCUCAUAAUUUUCUGUUAACUUAAUAUAAUAGUGGACUGGGAAAAACAUCGUGUCAGUGACACUAAUAUGGUUAGGCGAUUCUAAUUGCUUUUGAAGAAUGCCAAGCUUCAUCAGCUCGUUAUAGAGCAUAAAAACAAAUAUUUAUGUGUAUGCUACUAGACAGGAGUGGCUUUAUUCUCACUUGAAAAUUUAUCCCUUUUUACUCUUAGCUUGCCUUUUCUUCUCGGUUUUCUUUUUGUUCACUUUUUCUGUUUUGCAGAUUGAGCCAAUCCCAAGCAGAAAUCUGCCUCCUAGGUUUUAACCAAAUACAUCUCGCAGUGUGAGCGGUUUACAUAUGAUUUUUUAGUUUGUUAUUCUCCUUUUCAUAUGCAUGUUCAAGCAUGACGAAUGCCUUAGUAUGUCCCUGGUAACCAAGUAAGUGUUUUUAUAAUUUGCUAUAUCUUACCAAUUUGUUUUUCUCGUCCCCCAAUACACACAGUACUGAGGUUUUUAGUUGUGAUAUGCAAAAGUGUUAACUGUAGGAUGGCUCUAUGUUUUAUGUCUACUGGAAAUUGUGUAUUAUUCUGUAGCUAAAUGUGUUUUCUUUUUAAUUUCUACUUUUAUUUUUGAGAAAAUGCUGGUACGUUGGGAACAUCCAUAUACAGAUGACGGGACAAUUUCUUCAGGAGGUUUUUGCAAGCUAAAGUUGUGAAAAAGCAGUCGUUUGAAACUCAUUAAGUGAAUAAGGAGGAUCAUGAAAGAAAAAAAGUUGACCUUGAAGCUAUACCACAAGAUAUUGAUAUCCAGCGACAAGACUUGGAAGAUCUGUGUGGAAUGUUACGAAACAACUACAAGUUGAAGAUCAAGAUGCGUAGAAUGUUUUAGUUACUCUUUAUUAUUGUAAUUGACACUUUGGUAUUGACUUUUUUUGUUAUUUGAGUUUGGAAAAGUAUGUUAAGGUACACUAUUUGACUAGCAAUGAUAUUUGUGUUAAUAUUGUU